CCUACAGGAGGCAGCAGUGAGGAAUAUUGGUCAAUGGGCGGAAGCCUGAACCAGCCAAGUAGCGUGCGGGAUGAAGGCCCUACGGGUCGUAAACCGCUUUUGCACGGGGAUAACACCCUCCACUUGUGGAGGUCUGCAGGUACCGUACGAAUAAGGGCCGGCUAAUUCCGUGCCAGCAGCCGCGGUAAUACGGAGGGCCCGAGCUUUAUCCGGAUUCAUUGGGCUUAAAGGGAGCGUAGGCGGGCGUUCAAGUCAGCUGUAAAAUCGCGCGGCUCAACCGCGCCCCGCAGUUGAAACUGGACGACUUGAGUGCACAACAGGCAGGCGGAAUGCGUGGUGUAGCGGUGAAAUGCAUAGAUAUCACGAAGAACCCCGAUUGCGAAGGCAGCCUGCCGGGGUGCGACUGACGCUGAGGCUCGAAGGUGCGGGUAGCAAACAGGAUUAGAUACCCGAGUAGUC
rnacentral:rRNA from 1 species